AAGCGUAGGUGUACAUACCGAUAAAAUUAAGCAGACCCUGGGGUUUUAGCAGGGGUUUUCUUUCUCAAUCUUAAAAAUGUCGACGGCGGAUUCCCUGUCGGCUUCUGGACGGAGCUCGGACAAGCUGAGCCUUCCAUCUCUCUAAUCCAAAAUGAAAAUCGACCCAGAAGGUUACGAAAAGGACCUGGUCUGGUUUACGGCCAAUUCAAGUCGGCUUUGGAGCUUUUUCAACAGCAAGCAGCUCUCAAUUUCUCCACAGCCUCCGGUAUCUGCGCUGACCCCGCCAUUGCCAAGCAUCUCAGUGACCGCGCCACGUUUUUGGCUCAUGUUACACCUUUUACCCGAAGCAACUCGCUGGGUUUCUCAAAUCGUCUGCUCGGACUCUGCCUUCAGGUCUUCGGUAUCAUGAUACUCAAGCGCUUAUUCUACUGAUUAACCGAAGGGCAUACCCAACACCAUUGUUACAAGUACUUGCAAAUGUUUGAGUAAAGAUAACACAUGCGAAAGCCAAUGGUUUAAAUUAGUUCAUAGCACAAAAAGUUCAACCAUGACAAAACCCUCGUCACUGAUCAGUUCAGUCCUCAAUUUCCCAGCGAAGGAUUUCUUAUGGAAGUUCUUAGGCUCAGUAUAAACUUGUAUAGCAGAAGCUGCCUACGGAGCAAUUUUACAAGGUGCUACUUUGGACAUUCUAGAAGUUCAUUGUCAGGCAUCUCAAGUAAUAUAACAAUAGACAGAAUCAUGAUUGCUGCUCUGUCAUUUCUCCUUGAUUAUGAGAAGAUUGAAGAUGAUGAUAGUGAUGCUUCAAGUGGCGAAGAUGAUCCGAAUCCUCAAACCGCUCAAGUUGUCAUUAAUGAAGAGUAUGUAUAAGGCAUGCCAUAAAGGUACAGUAGCUAGUAAGAAGAAAAAGAAAGCAACACUGCACCGUGUCAUAUGUAGCAUGAAAAGGCAGCAAAGAUUGUCAUUGGAAAACAGCAAUUCGAAUUGUUAUUCACUAUUCAACCAUCUCAAAGAUGCACAGAAUUCCAUUUUGCUUGCAGGGGUUUGCUGAGAAGUUAUUUUGUCGCCUUCAGACUUCCAAUGAAUGUUUUGAUGUGAUUAUGAGAUCUUGGCUUUGGAAGAGUUUGUGGGGUGCCCAUUAGCAUAUGCACUUGCUUUUUUCCCCGACAUGUUUUACAAAUGGUUUUUGAGCUGAUGUAUCAUAUGUUGGGUAUCACAUAUAAUUAUGCACGCAUGUCUGUGUAUACCUUAUUUUGUCCAUGUAUACCUUAUUUUGAGUUCUGAAAAAUAACUGGGAAGUAGGUUCAUGGACAAUGAGCAACAAGAAUGAAGAAAAUGUUGGAACACAAGGGGUUAAUUUGAGAUUCUGUUUUCCCAAAAUGCUGCAUUGGCUUGUAUACUUUUCAGUUAAAAUGAACAUUUUUUAUUGACGUCAAUUUCUGUGUAAACUUCAGGUCCAGGAACCUACUUCCCAGUUAUUUUAUUGGAUUUUUAUCCUUUCUUCUUUCUUCGGAAAUAUGUUCAGGUGUGGUGCUAGAAUGAAUGGAAUUUAUGGUGUGCCAGCAGAAAGAUGGCCAUGGCCUUUCUUACUUUUCCAUUUUGAUUGAUUGAAUUUAAUGCUUCGAUCGUAGUUUUCUCCCCUGCAAACUUACUCUGUCGGUCUUCAUCUUCUUCUGCUAACUUCUGUAUGAUUCUCGGGCUCUCUUCCCCGGUCACUGUUUUGUUGUAUCAGGUGCCUCCCGAUGCAGUUGAGCCACUGUUCAAACAAGUAGUAAAUCAGUUUGUACGUGAUCGUUCACGUCCCGAGGCCAUUUCUGUUGGACAAGAGAAAAGGAGAAAGCAGAACCGUUCUGGCGAGCAGUUCCGGGGGAAGAAAGCAUGGAAAUGAUCAGAACCAUGUAUUAGCACGUCAUGAAGCUUCUUUUUUAUAUAGACAGGAAGGAUAUGGCAACGUAAACUUGCUAAUGAAAGCUUCUAGGUGAUGCAGCUUGUUAUCAGGGUUAAAUUUGUUGAUCAUGGUAUUAAAGCCAGGUGCCAAAAUUGGUGCUA